rnacentral:tRNA from 1 species
GGUCGUGUGGCCUAAUGGAUAAGGCGUCGGACUUCGGAUCCGAAGAUUGCAGGUUCGAGUCCUGCUAAGAUCA